AUUCCAGCUCCAAUAGCGAAUACUAAUUCUGCUGCAGUUAAAAAGCUCGUAGUUGAACUUCUGGUAGGACAGAUCCGGCCUUUGGAUGAAUGUCCAUUGUAUGCUGUGUGUCUUGUCUGGCCAUCCUUUAUGUCUUUUAGGCGUAAUCUUUCACUGUAAAAAAAUUAGGGUGUUUCAAGCAAAAGUUAUUUGGAAUAUAUUAGUAUGGGAUGAUAAGAUAGGCUCUUGAGUGCUACUUUGUUGGUUUAUACACUUAGAGAAUGAUUAACAGGGACAGUCAGGGGCACUCGUAUUCCGCCAAGGGAGGUGAAAUUCUCAGACCAGCGGAAGACGAACCACUGCGAAAGCAUUUGCCAGGGAUGUUUUCAUCG
rnacentral:rRNA from 1 species